rnacentral:rRNA from 1 species
UACAGAGGUCCCAAGCGUUGUUCGGAUUCACUGGGCGUAAAGGGUGCGUAGGUGGCCGGGUAAGUCUGGUGUGAAAUCUCCGAGCUCAACUCGGAAACUGCAUUGGAUACUAUCCGGCUAGAGGAUCGGAGGGGAGACUGGAAUACUUGGUGUAGCAGUGAAAUGCGUAGAUAUCAAGUGGAACACCAGUGGCGAAGGCGAGUCUCUGGUCUGUAACUGACGCUGAGGCGCGAAAGCGUGGGGAGCAAACAGG